UACGUAGGGUGCGAGCGUUGUCCGGAAUUAUUGGGCGUAAAGAGCUCGUAGGCGGUCUGUCGCGUCGAUCGUGAAAACUUGGGGCUUAACCCUGAGCUUGCGGUCGAUACGGGCAUGACUGGAGUUCGGCAGGGGAGACUGGAAUUCCUGGUGUAGCGGUGAAAUGCGCAGAUAUCAGGAGGAACACCGGUGGCGAAGGCGGGUCUCUGGGCAAUAACUGACGCUGAGGAGCGAAAGCGUGGGGGAGCGAACAGG
rnacentral:rRNA from 1 species